AUAAUCCCAACUAUAAGAUUCAUCACGUAUACCGACCACCGUUCCAUUAUAUUGGAUUACUUUUUACACACACCCGUUCAACGAUCACUGUUCUAUAAGAAAAAUUUCAACUAGAGGGAAUUAUUUUACCCGACGAUUCGCUGUAGGUCCACGGUCAUUUCUCGAAACAUCGUCGAAACACGUCGAGAAGACGAUACGAAUUUCAAUGAAGAAAAUGAAAUGCGAUUAAAAAUUUUCGGUCCCUAUUUCUCUCCGUGUUAAACUACGCGUAGAUCUUCCGAAGAAAAUUUGUCUAUUCGGAGGGAAAUAUGUCGAGAUUCCCCAUGCGUAUAUCUCCGUGUAUACAGGGUGACACAGCUUUGUGAGGAAUAAUAAUGAAAGUAAAAAGGAUUCCCGUAUUCUCAGCUUCGGGACUCGACUCCCCUGUUAUAUAUAGGCAUCCCUUUGUAGUCCCGAGGUGAUAAUUUUUAAUCAGUACCUCGUACCUACUGUACCGUAUAAAACGCGUACCUAAACGACGCGUCCCGCGCAACAGAGGAGGUUUUGAAUAUAUAUCCAGAGCGUUAAAAUAUAAGAAGAAAGCAUUAUUGUUGUUAUUAUUACAUCAACGAACAGCAUAGAGGGAUAAAAUAGGGAAAAUGUGAUCUAGAUUUAUUUGAGAACUCUUGAGGGAAAAAAUAGCGGAAACGAAGUAGUCGAAGGAGGAGAAGAAAAGAGAAGAAAAAAAUAGAAAUAAAAAAAUAACGAAGAAAGAAGCUGAUGAAAUUGGAUCUAUGGACACGCAUAAUUCUUCGGUAAGUUAAUACGCGGCGCGGUGUCGUUCGCGACGCCUGGUCAGGGGCUAAUUAAUAUCGUUAAUCGAGGUAUACUCGAGAGGUCCUGAAGUCAGGCGAAUGACGUGGCGCAAAACUCGUCGUUAAUGGAGAUUAGAGUCAGGUAGACCGUGAGCGAGAGAACGACGAAACGAAGAACGAUCGAGAAAUUUUAGCGAUCGAUACGAACGACUCGCGAUCAUCGAGUCAAGGGUGAAAGGAGAGAAGAUCGUGCGGGAAAAUCGUUCUUCCACCGUCGGAAAAAUUUUCUCCUUCGCCACGCUACCGAUGAUUCGAAGAUCGAGAGGAGAAAGGGAGAAUAGGUGCGUUCGAAGACCUCCGUAUUUUCGAUGAUUCGGACUUUCUUUCAUUCGACUCGAGUCUUUUACUACGAAACUUUAUAUCCACCACACGCUGGACGGCGUGGGUGGGUACGUAUAAUAUGGGUGCGAGGUGGACCACACGUGUAAAAGUUUUGUGUAUAUAAAAGGGUGGGCGGUUGUUCAGGAAUUGCGGGGUAAAGAGGGGUGACGCGCAUUCCGAUGACUUCCAUUCAAACGCGGCCAUGCUCUAAGGAGAAUUAAACGCGUUGUCCGACACGUUUUCCUCCCUAUGCGUAUAAUAAUAACAACAACACCGCCAACAACAAUAACUCGCUCCCGCGGAAGAGGGAAGGGAAGGGGUAAGACAAGGCGAUCCGGAAUUGAUCGUAUGGUAAUUUAUCCGUUUCUGGAUCGUGGAUGAGUAAAAAAAAAAAGUGAAUGAAAAAAAAUCUUACGCUCCGGUAGAAUGAGGAGGAGAAGAGGAAUGCGAACGGAGAGAAGAAACGGAUUUAGAAAAAAACUUUAAUGUCCACAUAUCCAGGAAUUAGGGAUUGAUUAUUAGCCUUUUCCUACAGGAUAACGAGUCGAAUUCUUUGAUUGACUGGCUCGGGGUGCCGCAUACCGUCGUCUGGAUCCUCAAAGAAGCGGAUGAAUCUUUAACGUAUAACCGCGUGAAGGAUGAAGGAAGAAAGAGAGAGAUUGAGAAAUAAAAAGAGAGGGAACCGAGCGAGUUGCUCGAGGGAUCAGCGGGAAUAAGAAGAAGGAAAGUCGAAGGUAUAAAAGGAAUUGUUUGCGUAUGCGGAGGAAUCUAGCUGUACAACUCGGGAUGCGGAUUUUAAGGAGGAGGAAGAGGAGGAGGAGGAGGAGGAGGAGGAGGAUGAGGAGGAAGAGGAGGAGAGCUCCGAUCUGAACCGGAUCGUUCCGUUGACCCGACAACAACAACUGUAUAACGCGUUGACUUUAUCGCCUCCAGUGGGAUAGGAGGAGGCGGUGAUCGACCGCUGUAGCAGUCCGCUUUUGUUGAAGAAAUCCUGCAGCCUGGUUUUAAGCUUGUAGCCUCGAUAACGAGCUCCUCGGGUAUACGAUAUGCUUCGUGCAAUUCUGCUAUAUUUCGUGGAUCGAAUAAACUUUAUUUCGAAGCGUCGCCUACUUCGUUCCUGAAUUAUGUCAGUGACUCGCUUCGGAACAACGCCCGUUCCGGGCUACCUAUACGCCUCGUCAAAAUAUCCCACUCCGUUCAUCGAACGCGAUGCAGAAUUGAAUGAAAAAAAAAAAAAAAAAAACCAAAA